CCUACGGGGGGCAGCAGUGAGGAAUAUUGGUCAAUGGGCGUAAGCCUGAACCAGCCAAGUCGCGUGAGGGAUGAAGGUUCUAUGGAUUGUAAACCUCUUUUAUACGGGAAUAAAGUGUGUGACGUGUACUAUUUUGUAUGUACCUUAUGAAUAAGGACCGGCUAACUCCGUGCCAGCAGCCGCGGUAAUACGGAGGAUCCGAGCGUUAUCCGGAUUUAUUGGGUUUAAAGGGUGCGUAGGCCGCCUUUUAAGCAAGCGGUGAAAGUCUGUGGCUCAACCAUGGAAUUGCCGUUGAAACUGGCGGGCUUGAGUAUGUUGAAGGCAGGCGGAAUGCGUGGUGUAGCGGUGAAAUGCUUAGAUAUCACGAAGAACCCCGAUUGCGAAGGCAGCCUGC
rnacentral:rRNA from 1 species